GGCUGCAGACAGACGUUUAAUGCUUUUUAUUUGCUUGUUAUGCCAGCCACAUAAACAGCAACUUGCAAAAGUGAUACACCAUAGACUGGGGCCGACUAAGGUGAUAACACAAUUGGACCAUUUUGAUCACAGCUAGCUCCUGGCUCCUUUUAUCCUAGGGAUGUACACCAGUUAUAUGAAAGAUUACACAAUGGAAACUAAAUGCACCCAGGAAGAGAGAUACACAGAAGAUAGAGCAUAAAGAGAAUUGAACACCAGCUGUACCCAGGUUGGACAUGAGUAGAGUACAACAUAGAGAGCCAGGAGUCAGGCUAAGGAAGGCCCGAAAAUUUAUCCUGGGUCACAUCAUCAUUACUACAUGAUGAAUUCACCUCAGGCUAAAUGAGAAAUACCACCUGAGAUUGAGCUUCUCCCCCAUUCUCAGCUGUUGCGCAUGUUCAACAUUUGCAGUUUUCAGUCAAUCAUGGGUCCAAAGAAUGUUUUCCAUUUCUGCUUUAACCAGUUUUAGGUUCCAAUCAGAUAAUAUCUCAGUCACUGUAUUUGUACAG